GCGGGCGUGGCGGAAUUGGCAGACGCACUGGAUUUAGGUUCCAGCGAUGGAAAUCGUGGGGGUUCAAAUCCCCCCGCCCGCACCA
rnacentral:tRNA from 1 species